UAGCUCAGCUGGUAAAGAAUCUGCCUGCAAGGCAGGAGACCCAGGUUCAAUUCCUGG
rnacentral:tRNA from 1 species